rnacentral:rRNA from 1 species
AGAGUGAACGCUGGCGGCAGGCCUAACACAUGCAAGUCGAACGGCAGCACAGCCCUAGCAAUAGGGUGGGUGGCGAGUGGCGGACGGGUGAGGAAUACAUCGGAAUCUACCUUGUCGUGGGGGAUAACGUAGGGAAACUUACGCUAAUACCGCAUACGAACUACGGUUGAAAGCGGCGGACCGCAAGGCGUCGCGCGAUUGGAUGAGCCGAUGUCCGAUUAGCUAGUUGGACGGGGUAAAGGCCCACCAAGGCGACGAUCGGUAGCUGGUCUGAGAGGAUGAUCAGCCACACUGGAACUG